AUGGUAGAGAAGAAUCUGUUUUGGCGGAGCACGAGUACCAUCGGUGAGAAGGAAUUGCAGAACUCUGAAGCGACGGCCAUCAAGCCAUCUCAUGCUCAUUGGGGAUCCAAUAUUCCACUACAAUUUCAAGUUGGCGCAGUCUGCCAAAAAAAAAAGGAAAAAAAAUCUUGGUGCCAGAUUCCAAGGCGCCUAGGCAGCUAUGAAUCUGAUCUCAUGUUGAGGUUGAACAAGGGGCCACGACAGUCAAACAUGCGGUAUCUUGCCCACCCCAUUUUGUCAACCUAUGCCUCGCAGUGUAGGUAA
rnacentral:rRNA from 1 species